rnacentral:rRNA from 1 species
GCAAGUCUGGUGCCAGCAGCCGCGGUAAUUCCAGCUCCAAUAGCGUAUAUUAAAGUUGUUGCAGUUAAAAAGCUCGUAGUUGAAUUUCGGGAUCAGAUUGUCGGUCGUGCCUCGGUACGCACUGGCAUUAUUGGUUCCUACCUUCUGAAGAACCGCGAUGUCAUUAAUUUGGUGUCACGGGGAAUCAGGACUGUUACUUUGAAAAAAUUAGAGUGUUUAAAGCAGGCGCACGCUUGAAUACAUUAGCAUGGAAUAAUGAAAUAGGACGUUUGAUUCUAUUUUGUUGGUUUCUAGGAUCGACGUAAUGAUUAAUAGGGAUAGUUGGGGGCAUUAGUAUUCAAUUGUCAGAGGUGAGAUUCUUGGAUUUAUUGAAGACUAACUACUGCGAAAGCAUUUGCCAAGGAUGUUUUCAUUAAUCAAGAACGAAAGUUAGGGGAUCGAAGACGAUCAGAUACCGUCGUAGUCUUAACCAUAAACUAUGCCGACUAGGGAUCGGAUGAUGUUAAUUUUUUAAUGACUCAUUCGGCGCCUUACGGGAAAC